GACGAACGCUGGCGGCGUGCUUAACACAUGCAAGUCGAACGGAAAGGCCCUGCUUUUGUGGGGUGCUCGAGUGGCGAACGGGUGAGUAACACGUGAGUAACCUGCCCUUGACUUUGGGAUAACUUCAGGAAACUGGGGCUAAUACCGGAUAGGAGCUCCUGCUGCAUGGUGGGGGUUGGAAAGUUUCGGCGGUUGGGGAUGGACUCGCGGCUUAUCAGCUUGUUGGUGGGGUAGUGGCUUACCAAGGCUUUGACGGGUAGCCGGCCUGAGAGGGUGACCGGCGACAUUGGGACUGAGAUACGGCCCAGACUCGUACGGGAGGCAGCAGUGGGGAAUAUGGCACAAUGGGCGGAAGCCUGAUGCAGCAACGCCGCGUGCGGGAUGACGGCCUUCGGGUUGUAAACCGCUUUAGCCUGUGACGAAGCGUGAGUGACGGUAAUGGGUAAAGAAGCACCGGCUAACUACGUG
rnacentral:rRNA from 1 species